GCCGGGAUAGCUCAGUNGGUAGAGCAGGGGACUGAAAAUCCUCGUGU
rnacentral:tRNA from 1 species